rnacentral:rRNA from 1 species
AGAGUUUGAUCCUGGCUCAGAUUGAACGCUGGCGGCAUGCCUUACACAUGCAAGUCGAACGGCAGCACGGGGGCAACCCUGGUGGCGAGUGGCGAACGGGUGAGUAAUACAUCGGAACGUGUCCUGUAGUGGGGGAUAGCCCGGCGAAAGCCGGAUUAAUACCGCAUACGCUCUACGGAGGAAAGGGGGGGAUCUUAGGACCUCUCGCUACAGGGGCGGCCGAUGGCAGAUUAGCUAGUUGGUGGGGUAAAGGCCUACCAAGGCGACGAUCUGUAGCUGGUCUGAGAGGACGACCAGCCACACUGGGACUGAGACACGGCCCAGACUCCUACGGGAGGCAGCAGUGGGGAAUUUUGGACAAUGGGGGCAACCCUGAUCCAGCAAUGCCGCGUGUGUGAAGAACGCCUUCGGGUUGUAAAGCACUUUUGUCCGGAAAGA